AAGGAAUAUUGGUCAAUGGACGCAAGUCUGAACCAGCCAUGCCGCGUGAAGGAUGAAGGUCCUCUGGAUUGUAAACUUCUUUUAUCUGGGACGAAAACGGGAUUUUUAUCUCAAUUGACGGUACCAGAGGAAUAAGCACCGGCUAACUCCGUGCCAGCAGCCGCGGUAAUACGGAGGGUGCGAGCGUUAUACGGAUUUACUGGGUUUAAAGGGUGCGUAGGUGGGCUUAUAAGUCAGUGGUGAAAUCUCCGAGCUUAACUUGGAAACUGCCGUUGAUACUAUAGGUCUUGAAUUAUCUGGAGGUAAGCGGAAUAUGUCAUGUAGCGGUGAAAUGCUUAGAUAUGACAUAGAACACCAAUUGCGAAGGCAGCUUACUACAUAUAAAUUGACGCUGAGGCACGAAAGCGUGGGGAUCAAACA
rnacentral:rRNA from 1 species